AAAAAACUAAAAAAAAGCUUGUGAUGAAUACCUAGGUACCUAGAAACGAUGAAGGGCAUUUAAAAAAUGAAAUGCUUCAAUUUGAUUUAUUAAUUUAAUUGAAGAUUCCCGAAUAGAGUAAUCUUUAAAACUAUUUACACUAAUAAUGUAAAUAAGAGAUAACCUGGAGAACUGAAACAUCUUAGUAUCCAGAGGAAAAGAGACAAAAAAUGUUGAUUCCCUUAGUAGUGGUGAGCGAAAUGGGAAUUAGCCUAAAUUAUUCGAAUUAAAAAGAAUAAGGUUAUGGGAAGAAAAAAUAAAUCCCAAGUAACAUGAGAAAUGUUUAUCUUGUGUGAAUUAACAAGAACCACCUUGUAAGGCUAAAUAUUCUUAGGUAACCGAUAGUGAAGAAGUACUGUAAAGGAAAGGUAUAAAAUUUCUCUUAAUAGAGAAAUAAAUUAUGAAAUCGCAAGCUAUCAAAUUAUAGAAGGAGAAAAUUUAUAUCUCUGACUGUGUGCUUGUUGAAGAAUGAGCCAGCGACUUAUAAAUAGUGGCUAAGGUUAAGGUUUAGAAACUGAAGCCAAAGCGAAAGCAAGUCUUAAAAAGGCAAAAACUUAAGAUGUCAUUAUUUAUAGACCCGAAGCUGAGUGAUCUAACUAUGAACAGGAUGAAUCUUGGGUAAAACUAAGUGGAGGUCCGAACUGAUUGAUGUUGCAAAAUCACCAGAUGAUUUGUGGUUAGUGGUGAAAUGCCAAUCGAACUCAGAGCUAGCUGGUUCCCCCUGAAAUGUAUUUAAGUACAGCGGUUGAUAAAAAAAUCCAGGGGUAAAGCACUGUUUUGAGGAGUCAAUAAAAGAAAUAUUGACAAGUUAAGACAAACUCUGAAUACUGGAUUGAAUAAACAACUAGUGGAACAAUGUGGGAUAAGCUUCAUUGUUGAAAGGGAAACAGCCCAGAUCACUAGUUAAGGCCCCAAAAUGAUUAUUAAGUGGUUAAGGAAAUAAAAAUGUAAAGAUAGUCAGUAGGUUUGCCUAGAAGCAGCUAACCUUAAAAGAGUGCGUAAAAGCUCACUGAUAAAGAACAGUUUUGUACCAAAAAUAAACGGGUCUAAAUAAUCUGCCGAAACUGUGAGAUAAAAAAUAAAAAUCGGUAAGGGGGCGUUCCGUUGUAAAUUUCUACGGAAGUGAGAAUGUUGGCUUGAGUAACAAAAACAUUGGUGAGAAUCCAAUGCUCCGAAAACCUAAGGAUUCCUAUGUUAAGUUUAUCUACAUAGGGUAAGUCAGGUCCUAAAAUGAGAUCGAAAGAUGCAAUUGAUGGUUUACAGGUUAAUAUUCCUGUACUACUUCUGAUUUUUUUAAUUAUUUUUAAUAUAAUUGGUGUAUUUUGAAGGACGAAGAAGGCUAAAUUAACUGAAUAUUUGAUUAAUCAGUUUAAGGAUUCAAAGCAAAAUUAAUUUUUUGAUAAGGUCCAAAUAUUAAACUAAUCUAUGUCAUACUUCCAGGAAAAGUUCAAAAUUACAUAUGAAAAAGAAGUACCUGUACCAGAAACUUAAACAGGUAGGUAAGUAGAGUAUACUAAGGAGUACGAGAUAACUUUCUCUAAGGAACUCGGCAAAUUAACUUCGUAACUUAGGGACAAGAAGUACCUAUAAAAUAGGUUGCAAUAAUCAGACCCAGACGACUGUUUAACAAAAACACAGGUCUCCGCAAAGUUGUAAAACGAUGUAUGGGGGCUGACGCCUGCCCAGUGCUGGAAGGUUAAAGAAGUAGGUUAUCUGUUAUCAGAACAAGCUUACGACUUAAGCCCCAGUAAACGGCGGCUGUAACUAUAACGGUCCUAAGGUAGCGAAACUCCUUGUCGGGUAAAUUCCGACCUGCAUGAAAGGCGUAACGAUCUGGGUACUGUCUCAGAGAAAGACUCGGUGAAAUAAAAAUGUUUGUGAAGAUGCAAACUAGUUACACCUGGACAGAAAGACCCUAUGAAGCUUUACUGUUUCCUAUAAUUGAAUUUAAAUUUGAUUUGUAUAGUCAUAGGUGGGAGUUUAAUUAAUUUAAAACAUCAAUGAAAGACCACUCUGAUCAAAUUUAAUUUCUAAUUAAAAAAUAAGACAGUUAUAGGUAGACAGUUUCUAUGGGGCGUAGGCCUCCAAAAAAGUAACGGAGGCGCACAAAGGUUUUCUUAAAUCAUAUUAAAAGUGAUUGUCAAGUGUAAAGGUAAAAGUAAGCUUAACUGUAAGACGAACUUGUCGAACAGAGACGAAAGUCGGUCUUAGUGAUCCGAUAGUACUGUGUGGAAAGGCUAUCGCUUAACGAAUAAAAGUUACUCUAGGGAUAACAGGCUGAUCUUCCCCAAGAGUUCACAUCGACGGGAAGGUUUGGCACCUCGAUGUCGGCUCGUCGCUACCUGGAGCAGUAGUAUGUUUCAAGGGUUGGGCUGUUCGCCCAUUAAAGCGGCACGUGAGCUGGGUUCAGAACGUCGUGAGACAGUUCGGUCCAUAUCCGGUGUAAACGUUGAAGCAUUGAUGGUUGUUUUUCCUAGUACGAGAGGAUCGGAAAAAAUACACCUCUAGUGUACCAGUUAUUAUUCUAAUAGUAAAUGCUGGGUAGCCACGUGUAGAGUGGAUAACUGCUGACAUCAUAUAAGUAGGAAGCCCAACCAAGGAUGAGUG
rnacentral:rRNA from 1 species